GUGCUUACUUCAGCAGCACAUAUGCUAAAACUGGAAAGAUACAGAGAAGAACAGCAUAGCCCCUGAGCAAGAAUGACAUGCAAAUUCAUGAAGCAUUCCAUAUGUUU